UCGCUGCUUCUCCCACGUCUUCUCUUCCCCAUUCUUCUCUCCUAGCUGAACUCAAACCCUGCGUCAUCCCCUCCUCCUUGACCCCUCUCCUCCUCUGAAGAAGGAGCACGGGGACUGAGCCGCCAUAGGGACGUCGGGUGGAGGAGAUUCGGUGCCGGUGGACCGCUCGCGCCGGUGUUCGAGGUCUUGGAGCCGCCGGAGUCACCGCCGCCGUACGGAGACUGUUCGAUGGAGGACGAUGGUGUUGGGGUCAGUGAAGGGAAGGCGCCGCCAACGAGGAUGUGGAGGAGGACUUGGUCGAGCCGGGUCAGUGAAGGGUGCGGCGGUUGGCUCGCUGGCUAGGUGGCCGCACGAUGCAGGAGCAGCAGCGACUUUACAGUUCCUCUGCUCUGCUCCCACUAGCGCUCAUCUGCCUCCCGGCCUAUUCUGUGACACGGCCUGUGGGAGAUGGGACCGGUGGAUGCCAUACGUCCCCGGAUCGGAGUAGUAGGCGGUGAGGAUUGAUGCUGAUUCAGGUUGCAGCAACUUGAGAACUGAAUAAUAUGGAGCAAGGUUCAUCUCUUGUAUCAUGAAGAAACUUCAAAAGUAAACAGAGCAGAGCUAUUAUCUCAAGAAUAGAAGCUAGAUAAAUUAAUCCAUGAGUAUUUUCAUGCAUAUGCUUUUAUUGGUGUAUUUGGAGUGUUUAUGAUUGGCUGAGCCAUGUGAGAACUAUUCAACUUUUGGGGGUAUCAAAGUGAGCUCGGUCCUGAUAGAGGAAUUAUUCAGGAACAAAAGGUUAAUCCAAUUGGGUGAUAUAAUUCAUGGACCUGAUUUCUUUAACAUAUUUAAUGGGUAUGCUACUAUUUCUUCAAGAGUCAUCCCAUGAACAUGAGAGCAGCACAAGAAAGAUGUGCUCGAGAGGUUCUUACAAGCCCUGUACAUGUCUCCAGCUAUUUUCUUACUUCUAUUGCAACAAGGCUGUAGUGGAGAAAAGUGCUCAGCUAAUGUUCAUAACCAUUUAAUUGUUUGGGUACUUUUACAUGGCAUGUUUUUAUAAUGAUAUGGGCAUGUGGCUGUUUCACAUAGAAAGGGGCUCAUUUAUUCAUGGAACUUGGGGUGAUCCUUUGAUAUAUUAGCCAUCCUAUGUGAAUUCAGGUUUGGAGUUCUUCCUUUGUAUUCUACCCGAUGCUUGGAAUAUUGAUUGUUAGGCAUAGCUUAACCUCCACAGUUGCCUUCAUAUUCUUCUGCUGGUAAAACAUGGCAAAACACGCACCAUAGAAUGCAAGGAGAAGAUAGAUUUAUUUUUCUCUUCCUACUUUUGUUACAUAGGACACAUUAUUUUUGUUUCAGUCAUGCCUUUUUUGCUAAAGGUGGUGUUGUGUAAAUUCAACAUUGAUGUUUGUGUUAUGACAUGAUGUACACAAACUGAAAAUUUGAUCCCUUGGGAUGUUGCUGGUGCUGACAAUCUAAUAGCAAUGGAAUUGGCACUCAAAUUUGCAUCCAAGAUUACAAUUGGCGAACAAUUUGCAAUUUAUGUAGUCACACCAAUGUGACCUUAAGGAGUCCCUACAUUAGUCUCUGCAAGAAAUUCUUUUCUUUCAGGAAAGCCCUAUAUUUUGUAAAAGCAUUAUAGCAAGUUAGCAACUAUUAGGGAACCCCAAGCCUAAGAUUUAUUGAGAUAUGGAAAUCUCAUUCGUUUUUGUACUUACAUUCUUCUCCCAGUGAAUAUAUUUCCAUUUGAGUUCAUGUUGGCAUGCUCUCUGAUGUGUAUGCUGUUUUUUUGGUUUUAAUACUUAGGGCUGCUCACGGUGCCGGUCGGUGCGCCCAUCCGCGUGUUCAAGAACCUCGGGCUGAUUCAUGCCAUGGCUGGAAAGUGGCUUGGCAACUACCAAAUUGGUACCCUGAGUUUUUAGGUUCAUAAUCAGUUGACUGAUCUUAAUGAGAGUGAUAUCUUAGUUAUGAAUGUUCUUUCCUGAUGUACAUGAAUGGCACUUUCUGG